rnacentral:rRNA from 1 species
AACGAUGAAGCCGGGGCUUGCUCUGGUGGAUUAGUGGCGAACGGGUGAGUAACACGUGAGCAACCUGCCCUGGACUCUGGGAUAAGCGCUGGAAACGGCGUCUAAUACUGGAUACGAGACGUGGCCGCAUGGUCAACGUUUGGAAAGAUUUUUCGGUCUGGGAUGGGCUCGCGGCCUAUCAGCUUGUUGGUGAGGUAAUGGCUCACCAAGGCGUCGACGGGUAGCCGGCCUGAGAGGGUGACCGGCCACACUGGGACUGAGACACGGCCCAGACUCCUACGGGAGGCAGCAGUGGGGAAUAUUGCACAAUGGGCGGAAGCCUGAUGCAGCAACGCCGCGUGAGGGAUGACGGCCUUCGGGUUGUAAACCUCUUUUAGCAGGGAAGAAGCGUGAGUGACGGUACCUGCAGAAAAAGCGCCGGCUAACUACGUGCCAGCAGCCGCGGUAAUACGUAGGGCGCAAGCGUUAUCCGGAAUUAUUGGGCGUAAAGAGCUCGUAGGCGGUUUGUCGCGUCUGCUGUGAAAUCCCGAGGCUCAACCUCGGGCCUGCAGUGGGUACGGGCAGACUAGAGUGCGGUAGGGGAGAUUGGAAUUCCUGGUGUAGCGGUGGAAUGCGCAGAUAUCAGGAGGAACACCGAUGGCGAAGGCAGAUCUCUGGGCCGUAACUGACGCUGAGGAGCGAAAGGGUGGGGAGCAAACAGGCUUAGAUACCCUGGUAGUCCACCCCGUAAACGUUGGGAACUAGUUGUGGGGUCCUUUCCACGGAUUCCGUGACGCAGC